rnacentral:rRNA from 1 species
AGUGAACGCUGGCGGUAGGCCUAACACAUGCAAGUCGAACGGCAGCACAGUAAGAGCUUGCUCUUACGGGUGGCGAGUGGCGGACGGGUGAGGAAUACAUCGGAAUCUACUUUUUCGUGGGGGAUAACGUAGGGAAACUUACGCUAAUACCGCAUACGACCUACGGGUGAAAGCAGGUGAUCUUCUGACCUUGCGCGAUUGAAUGAGCCGAUGUCGGAUUAGCUAGUUGGCGGGGUAAAGGCCCACCAAGGCGACGAUCCGUAGCUGGUCUGAGAGGAUGAUCAGCCACACUGGAACUGAGACACGGUCCAGACUCCUACGGGAGGCAGCAGUGGGGAAUAUUGGACAAUGGGCGCAAGCCUGAUCCAGCCAUACCGCGUGGGUGAAGAAGGCCUUCGGGUUGUAAAGCCCUUUUGUUGGGAAAGAAAAGCAGCAGGUUAAUACCCCGCUGUUCUGACGGUACCCAAAGAAUAAGCACCGGCUAACUUCGUG